CCGAGGUAGCGCGUGCCGAGCGUGGCAGUGGUGCAGCUUUACGCCGCUGAGUUUUUGUAUUAGCUUAAAAAAGAAAUUGUAAAGGUGUUGCCCGUGUUGGCAAGGCAUGUAACCCGCUGAUGCUGGCGGUGCUUUCCAGCUUUGUCUUGCUUCAAAACAAAGCAUUACAUUAAACACACGGUUCAAACCUCGGAGCCUUUUGAACUGUGUGCAAGCUUGUGUCUCAAGUCACCUAUGGCUUUAAGGAAGACAGUACAACAUUAUGAAGACAGAACAGAGUGCAUUGUCGUACAAUUAUCUGGGCUAUUACUUCCGCCUUCAUAGCAGGUCAUCCGUCUUUAACACUGCCUACAGAGCUUAUUCUGUGUGUAAGCAGUGAGGCAGCUGCAGCACACACGUGGCCUUGCUGCUGGCCAAUGUGCAGGACAGCCUGGGAAAAACGAGUUGCAACCAUCACUGAAGAUGCAGCUAAGCUGAGCGAGGCGACAAUUUCGGCUUUUGGAGAAACUCUCCUGUCAGCAUCAGCUGCUAGUGCACACCAAGAGAGAGACCUGUUUGGCUUCCCUCUGCCUUCAACCUCCCACACCUUGCAAAACCAUAAGCAGCCCAGCGCUUUUUUCUCUACAUUUUAUCCCUUCUGAUGAGAAGCCUAGAUGGAGGUCUGGCUGUAAGGUGGUGCUUGUGACUGUUACAGUGUAGAAAGGAAGUGAAGUAACACAGAGGCAGAAGUGGCACCAAUGUCCACGAGGCUCUUUCUUCAAACCAGUUCAGAUCUCAUGACCAGUCUCAAAUGUCUGAGUGAACUGUUUAUUUUUCUAACUUCUUCCAUGUCCUUAUUACAAGUAAAGUUUCAUUCAAAUGUUAGCACAUUCCCACAGAAACCCUUUUUGUUCUGAGUACUUUGAAAAUCUGCACAGGGCUGGCGAAAGCAGAAAUUUUGAAACAAAAUUCAUAAUUUCUAUUCACCUUUCAUAUUUCCAAAAUUAUCAUGGUGUUCGAAUGUAGCUGAAUUCAUAUUUCCUUGUACAGAAGUGUCAAGAAUUAUGUAUUGGUUGCCCUGUUCCACUAGAACUGGAUUACCUUGUUGCUUGAUCAUAGUUAAACCAUUACAUUGAACUGUCUUAAAUACAUACUGCAGAUACUGCACAGUCACAGUCUGGAUGUUGCUAUCAUAUUUUCUAGUAUUUUGGGGGUUUUAUUUAUUUUAUUACUAGUUGAGGGAAUUGGAAUCCCAAUCAGAAAAAACUAUUUCUCUCAGACAGUAUUAUCUUAAAGCAAAAGAAUAAAUCCAGGAAAUGGUCUAUGUUCAGUCUCUUAUAUUUCAGUUUAUCUUUUCUAAAUUCAGGGUUAGAUAAUUUGGAUGUUGUUUUGGAAUCAGUGAUUAAAGAAGUCAUUAGAGUGACACACAAAGUUACAGUAUCAGCAUGGAUUUAUCAUGCCAUACAAAGCAUGAACUAGACACUUUUUGCCAUAGCAAAUGGAAACUUGGAACAAAAAUAUUUGAAUUACUCAAUGAAAGCAGGUAACAUCUACUCUGGUGUGCAAAAACUCUGGAGGUGGAAAAAUACAGGAAAAUGGCAAACAAAAGUGUCUGAGAAAACUGCUUUUUACAUAUCCCCUAUUUCAGAAAAUUUCCUAGAUGAGCAACUGUCAUUUUUUCGUCUAGUUGCAUAUGUGUCUCCUCUGUUAGCUGAUGAGGUUGAGAAAGACUCUGAAGUCUCUACCAGUUUUUCUACACUGGUAUUUCUGAUUGGUUAGAAGCCCUCUUAAAACUCAAUACUUAAACAUUCUUGCUCUUAUUCACUUCCUCUUGCUGUGUCUUGGCACAAGUUUAGGCAACAUCAUAUCUCAAUCUGUAAUGAAAAGAAAUGACAGGAAACUGCAAUAGCUGCUGAACACUUCCCCCACCUCAUUUCUUCAGGCUUAUGUACUUUUUUAAAAAAAUAACUUUUAAGGACUGACUAAUGUAUGUGGACCUGUAUAUGGGCAUGAUUUGUAAAGCUUUGUCUUUUGAUACUGUUUCAUUUAUCUGUGCUCUGCAGAAUGCAAUGUUGAACUAUUCUGAUGAAUAUUCAAGCUGACUUGGGGAUCAGUGCAGUAAAAAGAAGCCAGGUCAAAUAGGAAGCACUUUCAAACAUUGCUAUCACAGCCACAGCACUUCUAAUUCUCCGCCAUCCUUGCUUAAAACUACUUCUGAUGUCUCUGCUCCUGAAUUCAUUGUUGAAGAGAAAGCACACACAUUCUUAAAAGGUAACAGGGAGCAACAAGAUACUCCAUUUGACUUACAUGUGAUCCUUGAGGAACUGGAAGUCGUCAUAGUCUUCUAAGUUUGCUGCAAGAAAGGAACUAUAUUGCCUUGACCCAGAAACAUCAUGACACAUUGUUAGCUUAUCUAAAUCUUGAAGUUAAAUGAAAUUGAGAGCAAUGGAAUAUGCUGAAUUUGAAAGGACGUGCAAGGAUCAUUGAGUCCAGCUUCUGGCCUUGCACAGGACAACCCCAAGAAUCACACUGUGUGCCUAAAAGCAUUGUCCAAACACUCCUUGAACUCUGAUUUGAACUUUGAUGCCAUAACCACUUCCCUGGGGGAAACUGAUCCAGGUGCCUAAAAAUCCUGCGGGUGAAAAACCUUUCCGUAACAUCCAACCUAAACCUCCCCCAACUAGGCCUCAGGCCAUUCCUUUGGGUUCCACCAGUGGUCACCUCAGAGAAGAGAUCAGCAUCUGUCCCUCACGAUGAAGUUGUGACCUCCACUACUCCUCAUACAACUUCCUCUAACUGGCCAAGACUUGAUCCAGGUGAAGACUUGGGUGACAAGAGCUGUCAGUGUGCAACCCCCAUAGAAAUAAGUGUCUGGGCUGGUAUAAUACUACAUUGUGAAAUGAGAGUAGUCUGCAUCAGCUACACAGAGGAAUUAGGGGUUGGUAGGCUACAGCUCAAAUGCAGUACAAGCUGCUGGAGGGUACAGGUUCUGAGUUCACUUGACUGUAGGAAUUAUGUCUGCUGUUCAUUACUCUUUGCUCAGGCUGCAGAAAGCCUGUCCCUUCUGCAGUCAGACUCAUCCAGCUGAUGUAUUAAUCUUUCUUCUGAGUCAGAAAACACACCUGGUUCUCACUGUCAGGCUGGGAUACAGAGGCACUAUUGGAACACUUUUGGCAUAGCAGAGCUAAUUAGGAAGUAUAGGUGAAUCUGUUUCAGAGUAACUGUUAUACUACAUUCUAGGAUGUGGUGUCUAGUGAAUUUGCAUAGUCUUGGGAAAUACUGAAAUUCAAAACCAUGUUCUACAAAAGCAUUGCUCUUUUCCUACAUAGUCUAAAUAAAACCGUAUAGCAUUGUGUUGUA